ACGGAUAUUGAAAGGAGAGACGGUUAGCACUACCCUUGACAAGGAUGAAACACACAAAAUGGUUAAGGGCACAAACUUGGUACAAUUUUCA
rnacentral:ncRNA from 1 species